UGGCUCAGUGGAUAGAGCAUCAGCCUGCAGACUGAAGGGUCCCAGGUUCGAUUCCUGG
rnacentral:tRNA from 1 species